UUAAAUUGAAGAGUUUGAUCAUGGCUCAGAUUGAACGCUGGCGGCAGGCCUAACACAUGCAAGUCGAACGGUAACAGAAAUCAGCUUGCUGAUUUGCUGACGAGUGGCGGACGGGUGAGUAAUGU
rnacentral:rRNA from 1 species